rnacentral:rRNA from 1 species
GACGAACGCUGGCAGCGUGCCUAAUACAUGCAAGUUGAGCGCUGAAGGUUGGUACUUGUACCAACUGGAUGAGCAGCGAACGGGUGAGUAACGCGUGGGGAAUCUGCCUUUGAGCGGGGGACAACAUUUGGAAACGAAUGCUAAUACCGCAUAAAAACUUUAAACACAAGUUUUAAGUUUGAAAGAUGCAAUUGCAUCACUCAAAGAUGAUCCCGCGUUGUAUUAGCUAGUUGGUGAGGUAAAGGCUCACCAAGGCGAUGAUACAUAGCCGACCUGAGAGGGUGAUCGGCCACAUUGGGACUGAGACACGGCCCAAACUCCUACGGGAGGCAGCAGUAGGGAAUCUUCGGCAAUGGACGAAAGUCUGACCGAGCAACGCCGCGUGAGUGAAGAAGGGUUUCGGAUCGUAAAACUCUGUUGGUAGAGAAGAACGUUGGUGAGAGUGGAAAGCUCAUCAAGUGACGGUAACUACCCAGAAAGGGACGGCUAACUACGUG